UACGAAGGGUGCAAGCGUUAAUCGGAAUUACUGGGCGUAAAGCGUGCGUAGGCGGUUUGUUAAGUCUGCUGUGAAAUCCCCGGGCUCAACCUGGGAAUGGCAGUGGAUACUGGCAAGCUAGAGUGUGUCAGAGGAUGGUGGAAUUCCCGGUGUAGCGGUGAAAUGCGUAGAGAUCGGGAGGAACAUCAGUGGCGGAAGGCGGCCAUCUGGGACAACACUGACGCUGAGGCACGAAAGCGUGGGGGAGCAAACAGG
rnacentral:rRNA from 1 species